rnacentral:rRNA from 1 species
GACGAACGCUGGCGGCGUGCUUAUCACAUGCAAGUCGAACGGAAAGGCCCUGCUUUUGUGGGGUGCUCGAGUGGCGAACGGGUGAGUAACACGUGAGUAACCUGCCCUUGACUUUGGGAUAACUUCAGGAAACUGGGGCUAAUACCGGAUAGGAGCUCCUGCUGCAUGGUGGGGGUUGGAAAGUUUCGGCGGUUGGGGAUGGACUCGCGGCUUAUCAGCUUGUUGGUGGGGUAGUGGCUUACCAAGGCUUUGACGGGUAGCCGGCCUGGGAGGGUGACCGGCCACAUUGGGACUGAGCUACGGCCCAGCCUCCUACGGGAGGCAGCAGUGGGGAAUAUUGCACAAUGGGCGGAAGCCUGAUGCAGCAACGCCGCGUGCGGGAUGACGGCCUUCGGGUUGUAAACCGCUUUCGCCUGUGACGAAGCGUGAGUGACGGUAAUGGGUAAAGAAGCACCGGCUAACUACGUG